rnacentral:rRNA from 1 species
AGCAGCCGCGGUAAUUCCAGCUCCAAUAGCGUAUAUUAAAGUUGUUGCAGUUAAAAAGCUCGUAGUUGAAUUUCGGGAUCAAUGUUUCGGUCAUGCCGUUGGUAUGUACUGAUAUUAUUGGUUUCUCACCUUCUAAAGAACCGUAAUGCCAUUAAUUUGGUGUCACGGGGAAUUAGGACUGUUACCUUGAAAAAAUUAGAGUGUUUAAAGCAGGCUCACGCUUGAAUACAUUAGCAUGGAAUAAUGAAAUAGGACAUCCGAUUCUAUUUUGUUGGUUUCUAGGAUCGAUGUAAUGAUUAAUAGGGAUAGUUGGGGGCAUUAGUAUCCAAUUGUCAGAGGUGAAAUUCUUGGAUUUAUUGAAGACUAACUACUGCGAAAGCAUUUGCCAAGGAUGUUUUCAUUAAUCAAGAACGAAAGUUAGGGGAUCGAAGACGAUCAGAUACCGUCGUAGUCUUAACCAUAAACUAUGCCGACUAGGGAUCGGAUGAUGUUAAUUUUUUAAUGUACUCAUUCGGCG